UACGUAGGGGGCAAGCGUUGUCCGGAAUCAUUGGGCGUAAAGAGCGCGUAGGCGGCCCGGUAAGUCCGCUGUAAAAGUCCAGGGCUCAACCCUGGAAAGCCGGUGGAUACUGUCGGGCUAGAGUCCGGAAGAGGCGAGUGGAAUUCCUGGUGUAGCGGUGGAAUGCGCAGAUAUCAGGAGGAACACCGAUGGCGAAGGCAGCUCGCUGGGCCACUACUGACGCUGAGAAGCGAAAGCAUGGGGAGCGAACAGG
rnacentral:rRNA from 1 species